CAGUCGAGCGAUGAGAUCACUUCGGUGAAGGAUUAGCGGCGAACGGGUGAGGAACACGUGAAGAAUCUGCCUUCAACUCUGGGAUAACUCCGGGAAACCGGGGCUAAUACCGGAUAUGAGCCUUGAUCGCAUGAUCGGGGCUGGAAAGUUUUUCGGUUGAAGAUGACUUCGCGGCCUAUCAGCUUGUUGGUGAGGUAAUGGCUCACCAAGGCGACGACGGGUAGCCGGCCUGAGAGGGCGACCGGCCACACUGGGACUGAGACACGGCCCAGACUCCUACGGGAGGCAGCAGUGGGGAAUAUUGGGCAAUGGACGAAAGUCUGACCCAGCGACGCCGCGUGCGGGAUGAAGGCCUUCGGGUUGUAAACCGCUUUCAGCAGGGAAUAAGCGCAAGUGAAGGUACCUGCAGAAGAAGCACCGGCUAGCUAUGUGCCAGCAGCCGCGGUAAUACAUAGGGUGCAAGCGUUGUCCGGAAUUAUUGGGCGUAAAGAGCUCGUAGGUGGUUUGUUACGUCGGAUGUGAAAUUCAGGGGCUCAACCCCUGACUUGCAUCCAAUACGGGCAAGCUAGAGUUUGGUAGGGGAGACUGGAAUUCCUGGUGUAGCGGUGGAAUGCGCAGAUAUCAGGAGGAACACCGAUGGCGAAGGCAGGUCUCUGGGCCAAUACUGACACUGAGGAGCGAAAGCGUGGGGAGCGAACAGGAUUAGAUACCCUGGUAGUCCACGCCGUAAACGGUGGGCGCUAGUUGUGCGAACCUUCCACGGUUUGUGCGACGCAGCUAACGCAUUAAGCGCCCCGCCUGGGGAGUACGAUCGCAAGAUUAAAACUCAAAGGAAUUGACGG
rnacentral:rRNA from 1 species